rnacentral:rRNA from 1 species
UCCUACGGGGGGCAGCAGUGAGGAAUAUUGGUCAAUGGCCGAGAGGCUGAACCAGCCAAGUCGCGUGAGGGAUGACGGCCCUACGGGUUGUAAACCUCUUUUGUCGGGGAGCAAGACCCGACUCGUGCAGGCGGAGCGAGAGCACCCGAAGAAAAAGCAUCGGCUAACUCCGUGCCAGCAGCCGCGGUAAUACGGAGGAUGCGAGCGUUAUCCGGAUUUAUUGGGUUUAAAGGGUGCGCAGGCGGACCAUCA